GAGUGGCGGACGGGUGAGUAACACGUGGGUAACCUGCCCUAAAGUGGGGGAUAACAUUUGGAAACAGAUGCUAAUACCGCAUAAAACCUAGCACCGCAUGGUGCAAGGUUGAAAGAUGGUUUCGGCUAUCACUUUAGGAUGGACCCGCGGUGCAUUAGUUAGUUGGUGAGGUAAAGGCUCACCAAGACCGUGAUGCAUAGCCGACCUGAGAGGGUAAUCGGCCACACUGGGACUGAGACACGGCCCAGACUCCUACGGGAGGCAGCAGUAGGGAAUCUUCCACAAUGGACGAAAGUCUGAUGGAGCAACGCCGCGUGAGUGAAGAAGGUUUUCGGAUCGUAAAACUCUGUUGUUGGAGAAGAACGUAUUUGAUAGUAACUGAUCAGGUAGUGACGGUAUCCAACCAGAAAGCCACGGCUAACUACGUGCCAGCAGCCGCGGUAAUACGUAGGUGGCAAGCGUUGUCCGGAUUUAUUGGGCGUAAAGCGAGCGCAGGCGGUUUCUUAAGUCUGAUGUGAAAGCCUUCGGCUCAACCGAAGAAGUGCAUCGGAAACUGGGAAACUUGAGUGCAGAAGAGGACAGUGGAACUCCAUGUGUAGCGGUGAAAUGCGUAGAUAUAUGGAAGAACACCAGUGGCGAAGGCGGCUGUCUGGUCUGUAACUGACGCUGAGGCUCGAAAGCAUGGGUAGCAAACAGGAUUAGAUACCCUGGUAGUCCAUGCCGUAAACGAUGAGUGCUAGGUGUUGGAGGGUUUCCGCCCUUCAGUGCCGCAGCUAACGCAUUAAGCACUCCGCCUGGGGAGUACGACCGCAAGGUUGAAACUCAAAGGAAUUGACGGGGGCCCGCACAAGCGGUGGAGCAUGUGGUUUAAUUCGAAGCAACGCGAAGAACCUUACCAGGUCUUGACAUCCUUUGACCACUCUAGAGAUAGAGCUUUCCCUUCGGGGACAAAGUGACAGGUGGUGCAUGGUUGUCGUCAGCUCGUGUCGUGAGAUGUUGGGUUAAGUCCCGCAACGAGCGCAACCCUUAUUACUAGUUGCCAGCAUUUAGUUGGGCACUCUAGUGAGACUGCCGGUGACAAACCGGAGGAAGGUGGGGACGACGUCAAAUCAUCAUGCCCCUUAUGACCUGGGCUACACACGUGCUACAAUGGAUGGUACAACGAGUCGCGAGACCGCGAGGUUUAGCUAAUCUCUUAAAACCAUUCUCAGUUCGGAUUGUAGGCUGCAACUCGCCUACAUGAAGCCGGAAUCGCUAGUAAUCGCGGAUCAGCAUGCCGCGGUGAAUACGUUCCCGGGCCUUGUACACACCGCCCGUCACACCAUGAGAGUUUGUAACACCCAAAGCCGGUGAGGUAACCUUCGGGAGCCAGCCGUCUAA
rnacentral:rRNA from 1 species